AUACGGAGGGUGCAAGCGUUAUUCGGAAUCACUGGGCGUAAAGGUCGCGUAGGCGGGUUGGCAAGUCAGAUGUGAAAUCCUACAGCUUAACUGUAGAACUGCAUUUGAAACUGCUAACCUAGAGUAUGGGAGGGGGAGAUGGAAUUAGUGGUGUAGGGGUAAAAUCCGUAGAUAUCACUAGGAAUACCGAAAGCGAAGGCGAUCUCCUGGAACAUAACUGACGCUAAGGCGUGAAAGCGUGGGGAGCAAACAGGAUUAGAAACCCUAGUAGUCC
rnacentral:rRNA from 1 species